UACGGAGGGUGCGAGCGUUAAUCGGAAUAACUGGGCGUAAAGGGCACGUAGGCGGUCAAUUAAGUUAGGUGUGAAAUCCCCGGGCUUAACCUGGGAACGGCAUUUAAGACUGGUUGGCUGGAGUAUCGUAGAGGGGGGUAGAAUUCCACGUGUAGCGGUGAAAUGCGUAGAGAUGUGGAGGAAUACCGGUGGCGAAGGCGGCCCCCUGGACGAAUACUGACGCUGAGGUGCGAAAGCGUGGGGAGCAAACAGG
rnacentral:rRNA from 1 species